rnacentral:sRNA from 1 species
CUUGGUCAUUUAGAGGAAGUAAAAGUCGUAACAAGGUUUCCGUAGGUGAACCUGCGGAAGGAUCAUUACAGAGUUCAUGCCCUCACGGGUAGAUCUCCCACCCUUGGAUACCUUACCUUUGUUACUUUGGCAGGCUGCUGUUUGGCGUUGGCUUCGGCUGACUGUGCCUGCCAGAGAACCCAAACUCGUUUGUUUAGUGAUGUCUGAGUACUAUAUAAAUAGUUAAAACUUUCAACAACGGGUCUCUUGGUUCUGGCAUCGAUGAAGAACGCAGCGAAAUGCGAUAAGUAAUGUGAAUUGCAGAAUUCAGUGAAUCAUCGAAUCUUUGAACGCACAUUGCGCCCUUUGGUAUUCCGAGGGGCAUGCCUGUUCGAGCGUCAUUGUAACCAUUCAAGCCUAGCUUGGUAUUGGAGUGCGCGAUUCCGCGGCUUCUAAAAUCAGUGGCAGUACCAUCUGUCUCUAAGCGUAGUAAUACCUCUCGCUAUAGAGUCUUGAUGGGUGCUUGCCAGCAAUAUUCAUCUCACGGUUGACCUCGGAUCAGGUAGGGAUACCCGCUGAACUUAAGCAUAUCAAUAAGCGGAGGAA